GGUUUCGAUCAUUGACAAUCUUGAUAAUUCCGUCACCGAAGCUGUUGAUAGGGUUCGUGAUUUGUUUGGCCCUAAGCGGUCUCAGAAUCUUGAAUUCCACCUGGGUGAUCUUAGGAAUAAGGACUUGGAGAAGCUCUUUUCUCAAACACGAUUUGAUGCUUUGAUCCAUUUUGCUGGCCUAAAAGCUGUUGGGGAAAGUGUUGCAAACCCUCGCCGUUAUUUUGAUAACAAUUUGAUUGGCACUAUAAAUCUUUAUGGGGUUAUGGCAAAAUAUGAUUGC